rnacentral:rRNA from 1 species
UGGGGAAUUUUGGACAAUGGGGGCAACCCUGAUCCAGCCAUCCCGCGUGUGCGAUGAAGGCCUUCGGGUUGUAAAGCACUUUUGGCAGGAAAGAAACGGCGCUGGAUAAUACCUGGCGCAACUGACGGUACCUGCAGAAUAAGCACCGGCUAACUACGUGCCAGCAGCCGCGGUAAUACGUAGGGUGCAAGCGUUAAUCGGAAUUACUGGGCGUAAAGCGUGCGCAGGCGGUUCGGAAAGAAAGAUGUGAAAUCCCAGGGCUUAACCUUGGAACUGCAUUUUUAACUACCGGGCUAGAGUAUGUCAGAGGGGGGUGGAAUUCCACGUGUAGCAGUGAAAUGCGUAGAUAUGUGGAGGAACACCGAUGGCGAAGGCAGCCCCCUGGGAUAAUACUGACGCUCAGGCACGAAAGCGUGGGGAGCAAACAG